GGGGUUGUGGCUCAGUGGUAGAGCACUUGCCUCACAUGCAUUAGCCCCUGGGUUCUAUCCUCAGCAUCACAU
rfam:Ictidomys tridecemlineatus contig130782, whole genome shotgun sequence.